UGGGGAAUAUUGCACAAUGGGCGCAAGCCUGAUGCAGCCAUGCCGCGUGUAUGAAGAAGGCCUUCGGGUUGUAAAGUACUUUCAGUCGGGAGGAAGGUGUCAAGGUUAAUAACCUUGGCAAUUGACGUUACCGACAGAAGAAGCACCGGCUAACCCCGUGCCAGCAGCCGCGGUAAUACGGAGGGUGCAAGCGCUAAUCGGACUUACUGGGCGUAAAGCGCACGCAGGCGGUCUGUCAAGUCGGAUGUGAAAUCCCCGGGCUCAACCUGGGAACUGCAUUCGAAACUGGCAGGCUAGAGUCUUGUAGAGGGGGGUAGAAUUCCAGCUGUAGCGGUGAAAUGCGUAGAGAUCUGGGGGAAUACCGGUGGCGAAGGCGGCCCCCUGGACAAAGGCUGACGCUCAGGUGCGAAAGCGUGGGGAGCAAACAGG
rnacentral:rRNA from 1 species